rnacentral:misc_RNA from 1 species
CCGUUUAUUAAUAGAAAACGGACCACAGGAGACCAGGGCAGACCUCCGCGGUGUUCGUCCAUCAUUACCGGCAUCUAUUUCCUUUGGCAUUCCCUCCAAAGUCAAACCGAUCCUCAAACCCUCUUUUAACAUUGCAAACCACCAACACCGUCAUCCUCCUUCAUCCGCCAUGGAACCCCGCCAAGUCGACCAAUUCGAGCCGGAACUUCAACUACCACGCCUCCGUAUCAAUCCCUCCUCUCCUCCUCGCGUCCCCAUUACCACUCCUACCCCUACCUCCGCUGCACAACGCCGAAUCGCCAUCGCCGUUGAUCUCAGCGAUGAAAGCGCUUAUGCUGUUAAGUGGGCUGUUAAUAACUACCUCCGCCCCGGUGACGCCGUCAUCCUUCUCCAUGUCCGUCCUACCUCCGUCCUGUAUGGCGCUGACUGGGGC